rnacentral:rRNA from 1 species
UACGAGGGGGGCAAGUGUUGUUCGGAAUCACUGGGCGUAAAGGGAGCGUAGGCGGGCGCCUAAGUUGGAUGUUUAAUACCGGGGCCUAACCCCGGGCCAGCAUCCAAAACUGGGCGUCUUGAAUGGGACAGAGGCCGGUGGAAUUGGAGGUGUAGCGGUGGAAUGCGUAGAGAUCUCCAAGAACACCCGUUGCGAAGGCGGCCGGCUGGGUCCACAUUGACGCUGAGGCUCGAAAGCGUGGGGAGCAAACAGG